rnacentral:lncRNA from 1 species
CGCUCCCGCAAAGGUUGACGCGAAACGAAACUUUGCGACCGACAGCGUCGCGACGUUACUACUGACGCAUUGUGACGGGAGUUCUCGUCCCGCGAUACCUGCAAUAGCAGCGAAUAUGGAUAAAUAAAUGAGAAUAGAUAAAUACUUUACGUGACGUUUAAAAAUGUACGGGAUUUUCAUUUCCGGAUUAUCAGUGAAGAAUAAAAAACCGAAAAGAACGAGAUGAUAACAGCAAAAAGGAAAAAAAGCAAAAGAAAAAAAACUGAACGAAAAUUUCCAAAGAUAUAUUGCAAUUGAGAAGUACAAUAUUAUUAUGUAAUUAAUUUAGUGGUCUGUUAUUUAGUAUACGGUUCUCAAAUACUACAUGUAUGCACAUAAUGUACAGGUAAUGUAAAUUUUUCAAGUGAAGAACGGAAAAAUUCAUAUGGAAUAAAAAAAACAGGGAAAUAAAGUAAAAAUAAUUAGAUUAGGAGAGUAAAACAAAGAGUGCAUUAUCCAGUAGAUACCUAUUCGGGUGUCACAUACGUGAAAACUUUAUCAGAUUAAUAAAACCCAAGAAGUCGAAAAACGGAGGAAUAAAAAAAAUGGACGAGCCAACGAGGAGUAAAAUAAACAGCAUUGUUCGAUGAAUAAA